rnacentral:tRNA from 1 species
UCGCCGUCUUCGGGUCUCUUUCUUCGCGGACGAACACGCGCUGGGCCUGCAUGACGCAGGGUCCCUGGUCCUUGACGGGAUAUGCGUUAGGGGCUUGUAGCUCAGUUGGUUAGAGCGCGCGCUUGAUAAGCGUGAGGUCGGAAGUUCAAGUCUUCCCAGGCCCACCAGCCUUCGCGCUUCGCUGCUUCGGCUAGGCAAGCCCUUCGAUACGAAGGCUGCCGCGCCGUAGCCUUUGCGAAGGCGGGCUGAUCAAACGAGCAUUCGUCUUCUGGUUACGGGGCCAUAGCUCAGCUGGGAGAGCGCGUGCUUUGCAAGCAUGAGGUCGUCGGUUCGAUCCCGUCUGGCUCCACCAGCCUUCGCUGGCUGAAGCCAGCUACGGCUAGGUAAACUGACCGGUGCGAAGGCUGCCACGUCGAAGCUCGUAAGAGCGAAGACGGGCUGGCGCCAGCAACGACCAAGUAAAUCGUCCGCGAAACAUCACUUCGCAUCUUGCUAGUCUGGAUAGACAGCAGGUUGCGUGAUUUCUGACAUCGUAAAGAGGAGAUCGAUCCGAGUUGGAUCGGGCAGCAAGCAAUUGCUGCGCGAUACUUCAUUAUCUCCGGAUCAUUUCGGCGCUCGCGCGUCUUUCAAUGCGGCUCACAAGGCUGCGUCUGAAUGGAAUGCGGGUUGUAAAUGAUCCUUUUAGCGAAGCUUGACAGCCUCGCUAUCGGAACGAUAUUAUAAACUAGCUGGUCUUUCUAAUCCUUGUCCGGCUGUGAGACUAUCGUUCGUCGAUGG